UAUGCACGCUGGCGGCGUGCCUAACACAUGCAAGUCGAACGGAGAUUACGGACGGAAGUUUUCGGAUGGAAGACUGUAAUUCUUAGUGGCGGACGGGUGAGUAACGCGUGGGCAACCUGCCCUAUACAGGGGGAUAGCAGCUGGAAACGGCUGGUAAGACCGCAUAAGUCGGCGAGACCGCAUGGUUUUGCCGGGAAAUGAGCAAUCAGGUAUAGGAUGGGCCCGCGUCCGAUUAGCCAGUUGGCAGGGUAAAAGCCUACCAAAGCAACGAUCGGUAGCCGGACUGAGAGGUCGGACGGCCACAUUGGGACUGAGACACGGCCCAAACUCCUACGGGAGGCAGCAGUGGGGGAUAUUGCACAAUGGAGGAAACUCUGAUGCAGCGACGCCGCGUGAGUGAAGAAGUAUUUCGGUAUGUAAAGCUCUAUCAGCAGGGAAGAUGAUGACGGUACCUGACUAAGAAGCCCCGGCUAACUACGUG
rnacentral:rRNA from 1 species